UUCAAAAUAUACAGUAAAUACAGUGGCGAAUUAUUUGUGUACAAGAUCCAUAAUAUUCCUGGUUUUCGAUAGCUAUAUUUUUAUGUAGUUAUUAAAAACAACAACUGAAGUGGAAAUGUUCACGUUUCAAAAAUUUGUGUCGGUUUUUUUUUUAAAGCCCCAUGGAGGCGCCAGUGUGGAAAACACGAUCAGGAAUUCGAGUGGAUCACCAAAUAUUAUUGGUGCCUAAACGGCAUUUCUCCACGAUUUCUACAUUGGUGAAUUGCACAAGCAGGUCCAUCGUAUCCUUCAUCUGUGCAUAAAGAAAAUACCACAAUAUUACAAUUUAGUACCUUAAUUACUGUAUUUGGAUCAACAUAUGAUGAUGAUUGGAACUGCAUUUCCCAAUCACUGAAAAUGUGAACCCACCGGGAAAUGUACGUGAUGUUCAUAUUUACUGCAACAGAUUGAGAAUGUUAUUCGGCGUAAAUUGGCCCUGGAUGGUAUACCAUUCAGGCUGAGCCACUUUAAUAGCCGAAAGCUGAAGACAUUUGGACAGUCCCUAUUGUGCAGAUGCCGCAACUAUUGUAUUGAUAAGUUAGUUUUAAUUUGUAUUUGAUAUACAUCACAAAUAAUAUAUCCA
rnacentral:sRNA from 1 species